UACGUAGGGUGCAAGCGUUAUCCGGAAUUAUUGGGCGUAAAGAGCUCGUAGGCGGUUUGUCGCGUCUGCUGUGAAAACCUAAGGCUCAACCUUGGGCUUGCAGUGGGUACGGGCAGACUAGAGUGAUGUAGGGGAGACUGGAAUUCCUGGUGUAGCGGUGAAAUGCGCAGAUAUCAGGAGGAACACCGGUGGCGAAGGCGGGUCUCUGGGCCGAUACUGACGUGAGGAGCGAAAGCGUGGGGAGCGAACAGG
rnacentral:rRNA from 1 species